UACGUAGGGCGCAAGCGUUAUCCGGAAUUAUUGGGCGUAAAGAGCUCGUAGGCGGUGUGUCGCGUCGGCCGUGAAAACUUGCAGCUUAACUGUGGGCGUGCGGUCGAUACGGGCAUCACUGGAGUUCGGCAGGGGAGACUGGAAUUCCUGGUGUAGCGGUGAAAUGCGCAGAUAUCAGGGGGAACACCGAUGGCGAAGGCAGGUCUCUGGGCAUUAACUGACGCUGAGGAGGCGAAAGCAUGGGGAGCGAACAGG
rnacentral:rRNA from 1 species